GCACUGAGAGAAGUUUCCGUAUCAAGAGCCUGCCUCUGAGGGAACGGACUGUGGACAGUGGUCAAGGAGAAAUUCCUCUUCUGAUUAGUUUUAUUGCCCCUGUGACAUCUGAGGAGUAUGAAGUAGGCUGGUAAUUCAAUCCUAGAAGGAAAUUGGAAUAUUAAAGAAACAGCUUAUUGUUGCAAUCCCAUCAAACUUGCCUCUUCCAGUGGCAGUGAGAAGCUCCAUUGUGGGUGGAGAUGGAUUUAGGAAAGACUUUCUGCAUGAAAAUGGCAUUUCAACUGGACAUAGAAAGAUCAUCUGGAGGGAAGUUGGAGACAGCUUGGGGACCGAGGAGUAUUCCAAAGUACCACCGAUGCCAUGAACAAGACAACUUCAAUCCUUGCCCCCCCGGAUUGCCCAAGUAACUAUUAGCAGAUGACAAUUGCGGUAAAAUCUUUGAAGGAAGGGUGUUAGCUUGAACAAGGCUUUGGCUAGGCUUCCGUGAGAAAUGCAGUU